AAAGCGUGCGCAGGCGGUUUUGUAAGUCUGUCGUGAAAUCCCCGGGCUCAACCUGGGAAUGGCGAUGGUGACUGCAAGGCUAGAGUUUGGCAGAGGGGGGUAGAAUUCCACGUGUAGCAGUGAAAUGCGUAGAUAUGUGGAGGAACACCGAUGGCGAAGGCAGCCCCCUGGGUCAAAACUGACGCUCAUGCACGAAAGCGUGGGGAGCAAACAGGAUUAGAUACCCGAGU
rnacentral:rRNA from 1 species